CCCGACUGCUAUUUGGGUGAGGAUAAGCCAUGCGAGUUGUAUGGGAUACCUAAAUUUCCCAUGGCAAACUGCUUAGUAACACAUGAUCAACUUACCCUAUGGAGAAAAAUAACCUCGGGAAACUGAGGAAAUGUUUCAUAGGUGAAUAGGCUUGGAAAAGUUUUUCAUCGAAAAGGAUAAGAAAAAUGGUUUUUAUCUGCCAUAGGAUAGGAUCGUGGUCGAUUAUGGUUGUUGGUGAGGUAACGGCUCACCAAGCCGACAAUCGAUAGGGGCCGUGAGAGCGGGAGCCCCAAGAUGGGUACUGAGACAGCGACCCAGGCCUUACGAGGCGCAGCAGGCGCGGAACCUCCGCAAUACACGAAAGUGUGACGGGGUUACCCAAAGUGUUCUUUUAAGAACUGUGGUAGGUGAGUAAUAUCCCCUACUAGAAAGGAGAGGGCAAGCUGGUGCCAGCCGCCGCGGUAAACCAGCUCUUCGAGUGGUCGGGAUAAUAUUGGGCUUAAAGUGUCCGUAGCCGGUUUAGUAAGUUCCUGGUAAAAUCGGGUAGCUUAACUAUCCGCAUGCUAGGAAUACUGCUAUACUAGAGGGCGGGAGAGGUCUGAGGUACUACAGGGGUAGGGGUGAAAUCUUAUAAUCCUUGUAGGACCACCAGUGGCGAAGGCGUCAGACUGGAACGCGCCUGACGGUGAGGGACGAAAGCCAGGGGAGCGAACCGGAUUAGAUACGUGGGAGAAGUAAGAAGAAUACUAACACAAUGCUAAAAACCCGGGUAGUCCUGGCCGUAAACGAUGCAUACUAGGUGAUGAUACGGCCAUGAGCCGUGUCAGUGCCGUAGGGAAACCGUUAAGUGUGCCGCCUGGGAAGUACGGUCGCAAGGCUAAAACUUAAAGGAAUUGGCGGGGGAGCACCACAAGGGGUGAAGCCUGCGGUUCA
rnacentral:rRNA from 1 species